rnacentral:ncRNA from 1 species
AAAUACUACUUCUGCGACGGUUUCUGGCAGUGAGAGCUGCCGGGAUUAAAAGGGAACACGGUACGGACGACCCAAUCAGGGGCCAAAUCCGUGGCUGCCCCCGCAACUGUAAGCAGAUGCCGGUCAUUCUUGCGGCGCUUCCUCGGAAGACGCCGGGUCACUGCGCCAGUCCUCAACUGGUGCGGGAAGGCAAAUGACCGGCCUGAGAUCUGUGAGCCAGGAGACCUGCCGUCAUGUGAAAUCCAGA